rnacentral:rRNA from 1 species
AAGCUGGAAUUGCUAGUAAUGGCAGGUCAGCAUACUGCCGUGAAUACGUUCCCGGGCCUUGUACACACCGCCCGUCACACCAUGAGAGUUGGGAAUACCCGAAGCCUGUGAGCCAACCGUAAGGGGGCAGCAGUCGAAGGUAGAAUCAAUGAUUGGGGUGAAGUCGUAACAAGGUAUC